UUGGUGGAACUGUUUGGGAGGGAUUAUGAGGUGUGGCCUUGUUGGAGGAGGUGUGUCACUGGAAGUGGGCACUGAGGUUUCAAAAUUCCCAGAUUCAAUGUCCUCUG